AGAGUUUGAUCCUGGCUCAGAUUGAACGCUGGCGGCAGGCCUAACACAUGCAAGUCGAGCGGUAGCGGGAAAGUAGCUUGCUACUUUUGCCGGCGAGCGGCGGACGGGUGAGUAAUGCCUGGGGAUCUGCCCAGUCGAGGGGGAUAACUACUGGAAACGGUAGCUAAUACCGCAUACGCCCUACGGGGGAAAGCAGGGGACCUUCGGGCCUUGCGCGAUUGGAUGAACCCAGGUGGGAUUAGCUAGUUGGUGAGGUAAUGGCUCACCAAGGCGACGAUCCCUAGCUGGUCUGAGAGGAUGAUCAGCCACACUGGAACUGAGACACGGUCCAGACUCCUACGGGAGGCAGCAGUGGGGAAUCUUGCGCAAUGGGCGAAAGCCUGACGCAGCAACGCCGCGUGCGGGAUGAAGGCCUUCGUGGUUGUAAACCGCUUUCAGUAGGGACGAAAAUGACGGUACCUGCAGAAGAAGCUCCGGCUAACUACGUGCCAGCAGCCGCGGUAAUACGUAGGGGGCGAGCGUUGUCCGGAUUCAUUGGGCGUAAAGAGCUCGUAGGCGGUUCAGUAAGUCAGGUGUGAAAGCUCCGAGCUCAACUCGGAGACGCCAUCUGAUACUGCUGUGACUAGAAUCCAGUAGGGGGAGUGUGGGAACUUCCUGGUGUA
rnacentral:rRNA from 1 species